AGUUCAAGAAAGCUGUGG
rnacentral:snRNA from 1 species